rnacentral:lncRNA from 1 species
AAAACGUACGGCCAAGGAGGACCAAGGGCUGAUCCGAGGGCCGGAAAAGGUAGAGGAAGAGCCACGCCGCGAGGAGGCAGAGGAGGACGAGGAGAGAGAAAGGGUGAGAGAGGAGAGAGAAAGCCAAUACCAGCGCGAGUAGGGUUAGGUAGUUGACGCGAAAGUACGAGAAAUUCCUCCGAAUCCGAGAUGCAGCAUCGGAAAGAUUAUCAGGUCGGGCCAUGGAGCUACGGUCGACGAGCUCCAACCACGGCCGGCGCUGAGAGAAGCCGUGGCGGAUCGAGGCGGAUAGACGCGACAUGAAUGCUCGGAACGCCGGCGUCGCUAUAGGCGGCUGCUGCGACUGACCGGCGGCGACACCGGUAGAUUGGGAACUAGAGAUUGGGAGAGUUGGAGGAGACGCCAUAGGUGGGUGACGGAAGACGAGGGUGAAAUCAGAUGAGGUUCGUGGGAAAAGGGGAUUUUGGGGAGGUUCUCCUAAAUUUAGGAAGAGGGUUUUGACGGAGGGAAAUGAUAUGGAAAAUAGAAGGGGCGUUUGGACGGAGAGAAAAUUGGGA